CGCUGGAUAUCCUGGAUGAAUGGCAAGCGGACUAUUCUGCAUCAGAAGGGGACGAAUGGUGUGACAAGACCAAUCUCACCACUGUGCAUUGGAGGAGCCUGGUUGCCUGCUUGCUGCCUUUAGACUAUGGCGCCAUGUUGAAACGCUUGAUUUUCCCCAGCUAAGACACGAAAGCCGGGUCAUUCGGUACUUGCCCUAUUUGAACAGUGAUACCCUAGAUAUCUAUGCCAUGGAUAUCCCAUUCGUAUAACGAAAGACUAUGCGAAAGACUUUGG